GCGACCCCAUGGACUGCAGCCUACCAGGCCCCACCGUCCAUGCGAUUUUCCAGGCAAGAGUACUGGAGUGGGGUGCCAUUGCCUUCUCUGAAGAAAGGACUAGGUUAACACUAGAAUCCACUAUCCAAAUGCGAGCUGCAUGUAUGAUGGUAUCUCCUUCUUUAAAUGCAGAUGACCAGCAGGGUCUGCCCAUGUGUUCACAUGCAUCUCUCAG